GGGGGUGCUUUGGUUUCGACAGAACUCCAGAUGCGCUAGUUGCAUGCCGAGGUGGGCUGGCCUCGUAAAAAGCCUAAAAAACAUAAGUGCCAACGAAGAGUACGCACUCGCUGCUUAGUUAAGCAACGCCGGACUUUUUCUCAUUCCUGCUGGGGAAAAAAUCCGGACGCAAU
rnacentral:tmRNA from 1 species